rnacentral:rRNA from 1 species
AUUGAACGCUGGCGGAAUGCUUUACACAUGCAAGUCGAACGGCAGCACGGACUUCGGUCUGGUGGCGAGUGGCGAACGGGUGAGUAAUGUAUCGGAACGUGCCCAGUCGUGGGGGAUAACGUAGUGAAAAUUACGCUAAUACCGCAUACGAUCGAUGGAUGAAAGCGGGGGAUCGCAAGACCUCGCGCGAGUGGAGCGGCCGAUAUCAGAUUAGGUAGUUGGUGGGGUAAAGGCCCACCAAGCCAACGAUCUGUAGCUGGUCUGAGAGGACGACCAGCCACACUGGAACCGAGACACGGUCCAGACUCCUACGGGAGGCAGCAGUGGGGAAUUUUGGACAAUGGGCGAAAGCCUGAUCCAGCCAUUCCGCGUGCAGGAUGAAGGCCCUCGGGUUGUAAACUGCUUUUGUACAGAACGAAAAGGUUUCUACUAAUACUAGGAGCUCAUGACGGUACUGUAAGAAUAAGCACCGGCUAACUACGUGCCAGCAGCCGCCGUAA